rnacentral:rRNA from 1 species
AUUGAACGCUGGCGGCAUGCCUUACACAUGCAAGUCGAACGGCAGCACGGGGCAACCUGGUGGCGAGUGGCGAACGGGUGAGUAAUGCAUCGGAACGUACCUUUCAGUGGGGGAUAACGUAGCGAAAGUUACGCUAAUACCGCAUAUUCUGUGAGCAGGAAAGCAGGGGAUCGCAAGACCUUGCGCUGAUUGAGCGGCCGAUGUCAGAUUAGCUAGUUGGGGAGGUAAAGGCUCACCAAGGCGACGAUCUGUAGCGGGUCUGAGAGGAUGAUCAGCCACACUGGAACUGAGACACGGUCCAGACUCCUACGGGAGGCAGCAGUGGGGAAUUUUGGACAAUGGGGGCAACCCUGAUCCAGCCAUGCCGCGUGAGUGAAGAAGGCCUUCGGGUUGUAAAGCUCUUUCGGCCGGGAAGAAAUCGCACGGGCUAAUACCCUGUGUGGAUGACGGUACCGGAAUAAGAAGCACCGGCUAACUACGUGCCAGCAGCCGCGGUAAUAC